UCUGCUUUUCACGGACAGCCAGACCAGCCGUAAAUUUUUUUAGGGUUUGGUUCUUCUUCCACAAUGAAUCCAAGAGUCUUUUUCUUCUUCGAUCUCUGCAAGGCGGUGUCUAUAUUCCUCUAAAAUCGCUAAUUCAUCGAUCUUUUUUUUAGAAUAGAAGUCAGCCCUAUGUUUUUCAACCGUGGAGGCGAGAUUCAAACGUGGUGGAAAGACUUUCCGUCACCGGCUGAUCCGGAAAUCAAGUGAUUGAAUCACGAGCAGGGAAAGAUGGGUUUGGGUUUGAUCUUGGACUCAACGAAGAAUGAUGAACCAGAUCCAUAUACUCGCGGGUAUGCAUUGAUUUUAAGAUAAGAACUAUUGAGCUUGAUACUGAACACAUCAAGCUCCAGAUUUGGGAUACUGCUGGUCAAGAACGUUUUCGAACCAUCACCACUGCUUUAUUACCGAGGGGCAAUUGGCAUUUUGCUGGUGUAUGAUGUAACAGACGAAUAUUAGGAACUGGAUUCGUAAUAUCGAACAGCACGCUUCGGAUAAUGUCAACAAGAUCUUGGUAGGGAACAAAGCCGAUAUGGACGAGAGCAAGAGGGCUGUUCCAACAUCAAAGGGUCAAGCACUUGCUGAUGAAUAUGGAAUCAAGUUCUUUGAAACAAGUGCCAAAACAAAUUUAAAUGUGGAAGAGGUUUUCUUCUCGAUAGCAAAGGACAUUAAGCAGAGACUCACAGAUACUGACUCGAGAGCAGAGGAUGAAAAGAAGUGUAACCGGUUGUUUUUGUGACAUGCUCUUCGUAGCACCGUCAGACAGGAGCUAAGGUUCAUAAUUUAAAAGAAACAAAACUUUCUCAUAUUUUUCUACUUCAUAGUGGAUGAGUAUUAAGUUAGCUGUGAUGGUAUGUAGGGUUACUUGACUCCAUGUUCAGGGGAGACUCGCCUGCCUAUAUUCAAGCCCCCCAAUGGAGGGUCUGGAGGACAUCUUGACCAACCAAAUCAUGUGAGAUCACUGACCUAGAUCACAGGUUUCUUCUAAUGGAAAGAAUGUACUCAACUCACCGAAUGAUACUUUGAAGAUAUAAGAAAAACAACAUCUAAUAGUGUACUUGAAAAUCAUAAUACUCCGGAGAAGAUGCUAUUUCUUAUGUUUAUAUUUUAUUUUUUCUGACAUUAUAUGUUACACUACAAUUCUUUAGAUCAAUCUAUUGAACCAUUACUUUA